CUCACUUAACAAAAAAUAGACUAAAAGUGCAAGAAUUAUGUAUUUUAUCCUCAAAACAUAGCUAAAACAUGGGUAAGUUAUGAUGCUUAGACGUAUAAAUACGCCAAACAUCACCAGAGAGGGUGAGAGCCCCAUUGUUCCCGGACCCUGUCGCACCAUGAGUCAUUAUGUAUGAGUUGGGUUGUUUGAGAAUGCAUGCCAAAUCGGGCGGUGAAUUCCGUCCAAGGCUAAAUACGGGCGACAGACCGAUAGCGAACAAGUACCGCGAGGGAAAGAUGAAAAGGACUUUGAAAAGAGAGUCAAAGAGUGCUUGAAAUUAUUAGGAGGGAAGCAGAUAGGGGCCGGCGAUGUGCCUCGAUCGGAUGUGGAAUAGCGGCGAGCCAGUUUGCCAAUCGACUCGAGCUGUGGACCAGCGUGGAUUGGGGGGGGCGGCCAAAGCCCGGGCUCUUGAUAUGCUCAUAGAACGCCAUAUCCUCGAUUGUGGUAGGUAGCGUGCGCCUCGAUCAUGCUUCGGCAUCUGCGCUAUGGACGCUAGCCUGUGGGCUCCCCAUUCGACCCGUCUUGAAAAAUGGACCAAGUAGUCUAACAUUUGUGCAUGUGAAUAGGCGAGUGAACUCGUAAGGCAUAAGGAAGCUGAUUGGUGUUAUCCCUCCAAUAUUAUAAGAAGGGUUCGAGUGUGAGCAUACCUAUUGGGACCUGAAAGAUGGUGAACUAUGCCUAAGCGGGGUGAGGCCAGAAGAAACUCUAGUGAAGGCCCGCAGAGAUACUGGCAUGCAAAUCAUUCAUCUGACUUGGGUGUAGGACCCGUGGCUGAUUUGUCGAGCUGAGCCACAGAAUCAAGAGAUCCAAGUAGGUUAUUUUUGGUAACCAGAACUUGCGAUGCAGGAUGAACCGGAAGCCGGGUUAUGGUGCCCAACUACGCGCUAACCUAGAUCCCAGAAAGGGUGUUCGUCGAUUAAGACAGCAGGACGGUGUUCAUGGAAGUCAAAAUCCGAUAAGGAGUGUGUAACAACUCACCUGCGGAAUAAACUAGACCCAAAAAUGGAUGGCGCUUAAGCGCGUGACCUACACCCGGCCAUUGGGGAAAGUUCCAGGCCCUGAUGAGUAGGAUGGCGCGGUGGUUGCUGCAAAACCUUGGGCACGGGCUUGGGCAGAGCGACCGUCGGUGCAGAUAUUGGUGGUAGUAGCAAACAUUCAAAUGAGAACUUUGAAGGUCGAAGAGGGGAAAGGUUCCAUGUGAACGACACUUGCACAUCGAUUAGUCGAUCCUAAGGGUCGGGGGAACCCCGACAGAUAGCGCGUUUUGCGUGUACUCCGAAAGAGAAUUAUGUUAAAAUUCCUGGGCUAGGAUGUGGCAGUAGAUCGCAACGUUAGAAAGUAUGAAGACGCUGGUGGGAGCCUCGAGAAGAGUUAUCUUUUCUGUUUAACUGCCUACCCACCCUAGAAUCGCCUCAGCCGGAGGUAGGGUCCAGUGGCUAGAAGAGCCCCACAUGUCGGAUGGUGUCCGGUACACUACCGGCGGCCCUUGAAAAUCCAGAGGACUGAAUACCGUCCAUGCUCGAUCGUACUCAUAACCACAUCAGGUCUCCAAGGGGAACAACCUCCUUGUUGAUGGAAUAAUGUAGGCAAGGAAAGUCGACAAAAUAGAUUCAUAAAUUCUAGAAAAGGAUUGGUACUGAGGGUUGGGCAUGGGGGUACCAGUACCAAACCCGUCGGCUGUCGGUGGACUACUCGUUCUGCUUUUGCAGUGAGAGCGGGUCGCUUCGUGCCAGUCAGGGGACGGACUGGGAACGGUUCCUUCGGGGGCCUUCCUCGCACGUCAAACAACCAACUCAGAACUUGUACAGACAAGGGGAAUCCGACUGUUUAAUUAAAACAAAGCAUUGUGAUGGUCCCAACGGAUAUUCACGCAUUGUGAUUUCUACCCAGUGCACUGAAUGUGAAAGUGAAGAAAUUCAACCAAGCACGUGUAAAUGGCGGGAGUAACUAUAACUUUCUUAAUGUAGCCAAAUACCUCUUCAUCUAAUUAGUGACAUGCAUGUAUGGAUUAACGAGAUUCCCACUAUCCCUGUCUACUAUCCAGCAAAACCACAGCUAAGGAAACAAGCUUGGUAGAGUCAGCGGGGAAAGAAGACCCUCUUGAACUUGACUCUACUCCGACUUUGUGAAAUGACUUGAGAGGUGUAGUGUAAGUGGGAGCCGAAAGGCGAAAGUAAAGUACCACUACUUUUAAUGUUAUUUUACUUAUUCAGUGAAUCGGCAAUGGGGCAUUGCCCCUCUUUUUGGACCCAAGGGCCGCUCUGCGGGCCGAUCCGAGCAGAAGACAUUGUCAGGUGGGGAGUUUGGCUGGGGCGGCAUAUCUGUUAAAAGAUAACGCAUGUGUCUUAAGAUGAGCUCAACAAGAAUAGAUAUAUCGUGUAGAACAAAAGGGUAAAAUCUCGUUGGAUUCUGAUUUUCAGUACGAAUACGAACCAUGAAAGCGUGGCCUAACGAUCCUUUAGACCUUCGGAAUUCGAAGCUAGAGGUCUCAAAAAAGUGUUACCACACGGAUAACUGGCCUGUUGCAGCCAAGAAUUCAUAGCGACAUUGCUUUUACAUCCUUCGAUGUCGGCUCUUUCUAUCAUUGUGAAGCAGAAUUCACCAAUUGUUGGACUGUUCAUAUACCAAUAGGGAACGUAAGCUGGUUUUAGAUCGUCGUGAGAUAGGUUAGUUUUACCCUACUUAUGAUAGUGUCACAAUAGUAGUCCAACCUAGUACGAGAGGAAAUGUUGAUUCACAUAAUUUGUCAUCGUGCUUGGUUAAAAAGCCAGUGGCACAAAGCUACCGUGUGCUGGAUUAUGACUGAAUGCCUCUAAGUUAAAAUCUGGACUAGAAGAGAAGUAUGCGCCCGCUGUCCAUUUGCUGACCCGCAGUAGGGGUCUCGGCCCCCAAGGGUACGUGUCAUUUACUAAUCCACCGUGGUAGAAGAGUCGCGGUGGCCUCCUUGAAGUAUAAUUUCCAUCGAGCUGUGGGUAGAAUCCUUUGCAGACGACUUAAAUAUGCGACAGGGUAUUGUAAGUGGAAGAGUGGCCUUGUUGCCAUAAUCCACUGAUAUUCAUCCCUUUAUCGCUCUGGUUCGU
rfam:Capsicum annuum cultivar Zunla-1 unplaced genomic scaffold scaffold2697, whole genome shotgun sequence